AAAACUUUCAACAACGGAUCUCUUGGUUCUGGCAUCGAUGAAGAACGCAGCGAAAUGCGAUAAGUAAUGUGAAUUGCAGAAUUCAGUGAAUCAUCGAAUCUUUGAACGCACAUUGCGCCCCUCGGAAUCCCGAGGGGCAUGCCUGUUCGAGCGUCAUUG
rnacentral:rRNA from 1 species